UUGUACACACCGCCCGUCACACCAUGGGAGCUGGUCACGCCCGAAGUCGUUACUCUAACCGUUCGCGGAGGAGGGCGCCGAAGGCAGGGCUAGUGACUGGGGUGAAGUCGUAACAAGGUAGCCGUACCGGAAGGUGUGGCUGGAUCACCUCCUUUAAGGGAGACCUUUACCCCUUCAUGCCGAAAGCAAAAUGCAAAUAGGUAGAAGUUGGUCAACCAAAAGGUCGAGCAAGGGAUUAGCCGAAAGGUUAAAGAGUGGAAGUCUUUCAAACUAUUGCCUAGGCAAGGAAAAGGCAAGGGCUAUUAGCUCAGCUGGUUAGAGCGCACCCCUGAUAAGGGUGAGGUCUCUGGUUCGAGUCCAGAAUGGCCCACCUAACCAUCCAGCUAUGUGUUUCUUAACGCCGAUGACAGGAAGUAUUCAGCAUCCUAUCUGAAAUUGGUCAGAGGGAAUGCUGGAUGAGAAUCCAGUAAGAACCUUGAAAACUGCAUAAAGAAAAGAGAAAGCAGGGAAAGUCUGAAUCCCUCUUCAUUAAAAGGUUGAACACAAAGCCAUUGGCUGAAUGGGAGAUCAAAUUAUGAGGAACAAAGGGACAAAGAUAAUCCUAAUUAGCAAGAAAAAGAUCUUAAAAAGGUCAAGCUACAAAGGGCUAACGGUGGAUACCUAGGCACACAGAGA
rnacentral:misc_RNA from 1 species